rnacentral:pre_miRNA from 1 species
AGGUCCUGGCUGACUGCAUAUAUUGCUCAACGUUAAAGAAUGCUAAUAUUGCACUCGCCCCGGCCUGA